GUGAGGAAUAUUGCGCAAUGGAGGCAACUCUGACGCAGCCAUGCCGCGUGCAGGAAAAAGGCGCUACGCGUUGUAAACUGCUUUUAACCGGGAAGAAACCCCAGGACGUGUCCUGGGUUGACGGUACCGGAGGAAUAAGCACCGGCUAACUUCGUGCCAGCAGCCGCGGUAAUACGAAGGGUGCAAGCGUUAUCCGGAUUCAUUGGGUUUAAAGGGUGCGUAGGCGGAGCGUUAAGUCAGUGGUGAAAUCCUGCAGCUUAACUGUAGACUUGCCAUUGAUACUGGCGCUCUUGAGUGCGCUUGAAGUGGGCGGAAUGUGCCGUGUAGCGGUGAAAUGCUUAGAUAUGGCACAGAACACCAAUUGCGAAGGCAGCUCACUAAGGCGAUACUGACGCUGAGGCACGAAAGCGUGGGGAUCGAACAGGAUUAGAUACCCGGGUAGUCC
rnacentral:rRNA from 1 species